UACGUAGGGUGCGAGCGUUGUCCGGAAUUAUUGGGCGUAAAGAGCUUGUAGGCGGUUUGUCGCGUCUGCUGUGAAAUCUCAAGGCUCAACCUUGAGCUUGCAGUGGGUACGGGCAGACUAGAGUGCGGUAGGGGAGAUUGGAAUUCCUGGUGUAGCGGUGGAAUGCGCAGAUAUCAGGAGGAACACCGAUGGCGAAGGCAGAUCUCUGGGCCGUAACUGACGCUGAGGAGCGAAAGCAUGGGGAGCGAACAGG
rnacentral:rRNA from 1 species